rnacentral:rRNA from 1 species
UUAGCUUGCUAAUUUGCUGACGAGUGGCGCACGGGUGCGUAACGCGUAUACAAUCUGCCUUUAAGCGGGGAAUAGCCCAUGGAAACGUGGAUUAAUACCCCAUAGUAUAUAGGAGUCACCUGGCUUUUAUAUUAAACAUUUAUGGCUUAAAGAUGAGUAUGCGUCCUAUUAGUUAGUUGGUAAGGUAACGGCUUACCAAGACCGCGAUAGGUAGGGGUCCUGAGAGGGAGAUCCCCCACACUGGUACUGAGACACGGACCAGACUCCUACGGGAGGCAGCAGUGAGGAAUAUUGGACAAUGGAGGCAACUCUGAUCCAGCCAUGCCGCGUGCAGGAAGACGGCCCUAUGGGUUGUAAACUGCUUUUAUACGGGAAGAACCACAUCUACGUGUAGAUGCUUGACGGUACCGUAUGAAUAAGGACCGGCUAACUCCGUGCCAGCAGCCGCGGUAAUACGGAGGGUCCAAGCGUUAUCCGGAAUCAUUGGGUUUAAAGGGUCCGUAGGCGGAAUAAUAAGUCAGUGGUGAAAGUCUGCAGCUUAACUGUAGAAUUGCCAUUGAUACUGUUGUUCUUGAAUUAUUAUGAAGUGGUUGGAAUGAGUAGUGUAGCGGUGAAAUGCAUAGAUAUUACUCAGAACACCUAUUGCGAAGGCAGAUCACUAAUAAUAUAUUGACGCUGAGGGACGAAAGCGUAGGUAGCGAACAGGAUUAGAUACCCUGGUAGUCUACGCCGUAAACGAUGGUUACUAGCUGUCC